AGUCCAGCCCCAGACCUUACAAGGACUCUAAACCCUCACCCCACCCUCCAUGCCAGCCUUGGUUAGGGUUGGCUGUGAAUCUCAUGCCAGAGUUAUUCCUGUAGGCUGCUAGGGGUAGGCCUUCUUAGCCUGCCCUCACACUUCAGUCUUGGCUUCAGAGUCCUCCUUGUCACCCUCCUGCCUCACUGACGGCUGCUCUUUCACAGAGAAGGCACCAAGUCCAAGUUCUGUAACUACUGAUUGAGUCUUCACUGCAGUGUGGCCCUGUGCCGGAGCACGUGUGGAUGGGGGCAUGGGAGAGGUACACGUGUCUGCAGGAGCUGGUGUGGCGAUGAAAGGCGACUGUCACCACAGCACCAGGCCCUGACAGUAUUCCAGUUCUCUUUGCAGCUUCAAGAAUCAGGUGACAGCAGAUUUUUCUCAAGGUUGCAGUGUUCUCCUUGUGCCAGGCAACUCCUACAGCAGAUAGCUAGGCC
rnacentral:lncRNA from 1 species